rnacentral:lncRNA from 1 species
UUAAGAAGCAUGGAUUGCAGACUUUCUUUAGAAUUCUGGUAGAAUUCUGUUGUGGAUCCAUCUGGGUCUGGGUUUUUGUUCGUUUGUUUUAUCAGAAACAUUAUUACUGUUUAGCCUCCUUAUCUGCUGUGAGUCUGUUUAUGUUGUUGAUCUUCUCUUCAUCAACCUUGGUGGUUUAGAUGAAUUUAUAAAUAUAUCCACUUCUUACAUUUUUAAACUUAAUAGAAUAUAAGGUUUUAAAUUAUUGCCUGAUCGUGUUCUGAAUAUAUAUGGCAUCUGUUGUGAUUCUGUUCAUCUGAGUCCUUUUUGUUGUUGUUAACUGAGCUAAAGGUCUAUCGAUUUUGUUUAUAUUCUUAAAGAAUUAGCUCUUAGAUAGUUGAUUCUUUCUUUUGUUUUCUUUGUUUCUACUUCAUUAGUUUCUGCUCCUAUCUUUAAUUUCUUCCUAUCUUCCCGAUUUUGGUUUUGUAGUGUUUGAAUAGGGAUGGCUCCCAUCGAUUCAAGUGUUUGAAUGCUUGGCCCAUUGGGAGUACCACUAUUAGGAUGUAUGACCUUGUUGAAGGAAGUAUGUAGCAGUGGAGGAAGGGUUUGAGGUUGUCUAUGCUAAAAUUAUGUUCAGUAUGAUGCACAGUUUCCUUGCUGCUUGUAGAUCAAGAUGUUAAACUCUAAGCUCCAUCUCCAGCACCAUGUUGGCCUGUAUGCUACCAUGCUCUCCAGCAUGAUCAUAAUGGACUACACAUCCAAAAUUGUGGGCUAGCCCCAAUUAAAUGUUUUUCCUUUUUGACUCAUUCAUCAUUCGUUACUCUAUCAAUGUUCAUGAGUUCAUGCUUUUCCCAGAGAGUCUUCUGCUGUUGAUUUUAUGCUUGCUUGCAUUGUUCUAAGAUAGGGUGCACAGAAUUACUUCUUUUCAUUGUUAUUGUUGUUGGCAUUUGUGUCCUGGGAUGUGGUCUGUUUUGAUGAAGCUUCCAUAAGCUGGAGAGUAGACCAUAUAACAAUAUUAGCAAUAUGAAAGUAACAGUGAAAGUCCACAGAUGGGCUUCUCUGGUUUAUGUCUGAUAAAAAGGUCCUAGUUUGAUAUACAAGUGAGAAACAUACAGGUUGAUAUCACUGUUGAGUGCUGGAGUAGCUGUGAGAAGAGCAGAAGCAGGGUCAUGCACUUAGGCCCAUUAGACAAUAAAGAAAGAACGACAAAAAUGCAGGAAGAGAAACAAACAGUGUAACUAGAGCAAUCUCUUUGGACCAUAGAAGUGGAGACUUUUAUGUCGUUUUUUAUUGUUUUUGUUUUGAGUAGUGUUUGCAAUGGAGCCCAGGGCUUUCCUCAGUCUGGCCAAGUGCUCUAUUGUUGGGGUCAGCCUGCGGCUUUCAUGUCCGGGUUCGAGCCUGGGAGGCAACUGGAGCUGAAAGAGAAGAGGGAAUCUAGGCAGGUCGAGAAAUAAUGGAAACCAAGACAUGCUAGUCUGUUCAAGGCUCCAAUGUUUAAUAAAAUUCUGAGCUUAUAAAGAGGGAAACCCAUCCCCUGUUACGGCAAGUUUCUUGAUGUUGUCAGCACAGCCUUUUAGCAGUAAUUUGCCAGAUUCACAGGUUGAAGUUAACUCCGGAGAAUCUUGGAGAACCAGUUCGGCCUCACGGCAGGCAGCAGGCAGUGCCACAUCAAAGGAAACUAGUUGAGUUGGAGAAGCAGCACUGCAGGUGGUCCCGCCUCAGUGGUGUAAGGUCUGAACCAGCCUGCCUAGGCUGAAGGAGGUUAUACUCUACCACUGUGCUUUGCCCUGUCCUCAGAGAUGAUUUUAAGCCAAAGCUAUUUGACAUUCACUAGUUAUAGAAAGAAGCCAUUGCAGAGCUUCCUCUGUGCCUGAAAGCACAAGCCUUUGGGAACAGGCUCUCAGGAUCCCUUUUCAAUGAUGUUUUAGUGUCCACAAAGAAGACAAAGAAGGUCACUUGAGGCUGCAUAAACAAAUAUCACCAACUCCGUUACCUCUUCUUCUCUGUAAACUCACUUGUUCUUCCAUGGAGACAUUUUUUUUUUCACCUUGCAGCUUGCUGAAUCACCCAUCACCUUGGGUUAUUUGGAAAGUCAUAUUUUUUCUGUGUGCUCAUGCAUCCAUGAAUAAAAAUAUGUUUGCUCCUGUU